CCUACGGGAGGCAGCAGUGGGGAAUAUUGCACAAUGGGGGAAACCCUGAUGCAGCAACGCCGCGUGAAGGAAGACGGUUUUCGGAGUGUACACUUCUGUUCUUAGUGAGGAAGAAUGACGGUAGCUAAGGAGCAAGCCACGACUACAUACGUGCGAGCAGCCGCGGUAAGACGUAGGUGGCAAGCGUUGUCCGGGAUUACUGGGGGUAAAGGGAGCGCAGGCGGGUAGCCAAGUCAGCUGUGGAAACUACGGGCUUAACUUGUGGACUGCAGUUGAAACUGGUAUUCUUGGGUGGAGUAGAGGUUAGGGGAAUUCCGGGGGUAACGGUGAAAAGCGUAGAUAUUCGGAGGAAACCCAGUGGCGAAGGGGGCCAACUGGGC
rnacentral:rRNA from 1 species